rnacentral:rRNA from 1 species
UGGGCGUAAGCGCGCGCAGGCGGUUUCUUAAGUCUGAUGUGAAAGCCCCCGGCUCAACCGGGGAGGGUCAUUGGAAACUGGGGAACUUGAGUGCAGAAGAGGAGAGUGGAAUUCCACGUGUAGCGGUGAAAUGCGUAGAGAUGUGGAGGAACACCAGUGGCGAAGGCGACUCUCUGGUCUGUAACUGACGCUGAGGCGCGAAAGCGUGGGGAGCGAACAGGAUUAGAUACCCUGGUAGUCCACGCCGUAAACGAUGAGUGCUAAGUGUUAGAGGGUUUCCGCCCUUUAGUGCUGCAGCAAACGCAUUAAGCACUCCGCCUGGGGAGUACGGUCGCAAGACUGAAACUCAAAGGAAUUGACGGGGGCCCGCACAAGCGGUGGAGCAUGUGGUUUAAUUCGAAGCAACGCGAAGAACCUUACCAGGUCUUGACAUCCUCUGACGACCCUAGAGAUAGGGCUUCCCCUUCGGGGGCAGAGUGACAGGUGGUGCAUGGUUGUCGUCAGCUCGUGUCGUGAGAUGUUGGGUUAAGUCCCGCAACGAGCGCAACCCUUGAUCU